UGGGUAGUGAGUGAACAAUCAAAACAUAGUAUAAGUUAUAUUUGUAUUUUUACCAUUUAUUCUUUUGCAGUAAACAACCUAUGAACUUCAGGAAAUUCACAGGCUUCUUCAAUGAAGAAAGCAGCUGGCAGGGGGUGACAGAAUUUUAGAGGAUUAAUCAACAACCACUAGCAGUAGACCUGUACUUGC
rnacentral:lncRNA from 1 species